GUCUUAGCGUUGCUAAGGCCGAUGGCGACCGGCGCACGGGUGAGUACACGUAUCCAACCUGCCGUCUACUCUUGGACAGCCUUCUGAAAGGAAGAUUAAUACAAGAUGGCAUCAUGAGUCCGCAUGUUCACAUGAUUAAAGGUAUUCCGGUAGACGAUGGGGAUGCGUUCCAUUAGAUAGUAGGCGGGGUAACGGCCCACCUAGUCUUCGAUGGAUAGGGGUUCUGAGAGGAAGGUCCCCCACAUUGGAACUGACACACGGUCCAAACUCCUACGGGAGGCAGCAGUGAGGAAUAUUGGUCAAUGGGCGAGAGCCUGAACCAUCCAAGUAGCGUGAAGGAUGACUGCCCUAUGGGUUGUAAACUUCUUUUAUAAAGGAAUAAAGUCGGGUAUGGAUACCCGUUUGCAUGUACUUUAUGAAUAAGGAUCGGCUAACUCCGUGCCAGCAGCCGCGGUAAUACCGAGGAUCCGAGCGUUAUCCGGAUUUAUUGCGUUUAAAGGGAGCGUAGAUGGAUGUCUAAGUCAGUUGUGAAAGUUUGCGGCUCAACCGUAAAAUUGCAGUUGAUACUGGAGAUCUUGAGUGCAGUUGAGGCAGGCGGAAUUCGUGGUGUAGCGGUGAAAUGCUUAGAUAUCACGAAGAACUCCGAUUGCGAAGGCAGCCUGCUAAGCUGCAACUGACAUUGAGGCUCGAAAGUGUGGGUAUCAAACAGGAUUAGAUACCCUGGUAGUCCACACGGUAAACGAUGAAUACUCGCUGUUUGCGAUAUACUGCAAGCGGCCAAGCGAAAGCGUUAAGUAUUCCACCUGGGGAGUACGCCGGCAACGGUGGAACUCAAAGGAAUUGACGGGGGCCCGCACAAGCGGAGGAACAUGUGGUUUAAUUCGAUGAUACGCGAGGAACCUUACCCGGGCUUAAAUUGCAGAUGAAUUACGGUGAAAGCCGUAAGCCGCAAGGCAUCUGUGAAGGUGCUGCAUGGUUGUCGUCAGCUCGUGCCGUGAGGUGUCGGCUUAAGUGCCAUAACGAGCGCAACCCUUGUUGUCAGUUACUAACAGGUUCCGCUGAGGACUCUGACAAGACUGCCAUCGUAAGAUGUGAGGAAGGUGGGGAUGACGUCAAAUCAGCACGGCCCUUACGUCCGGGGCUACACACGUGUUACAAUGGGGGGUACAGAGGGCCGCUACCACGCGAGUGGAUGCCAAUCCCCAAAACCUCUCUCAGUUCGGACUGGAGUCUGCAACCCGACUCCACGAAGCUGGAUUCGCUAGUAAUCGCGCAUCAGCCACGGCGCGGUGAAUACGUUCCCGGGCCUUGCACACACCGCC
rnacentral:rRNA from 1 species